rnacentral:rRNA from 1 species
AUUGAACGCUGGCGGCAUGCCUUACACAUGCAAGUCGAACGGUAACGGGUCCUUCGGGAUGCCGACGAGUGGCGAACGGGUGAGUAAUAUAUCGGAACGUGCCCAGUAGUGGGGAUAACUGCUCGAAAGAGCAGCUAAUACCGCAUACGACCUGAGGGUGAAAGGGGGGGAUCGGAAGACCUCUCGCUAUUGGAGCGGCCGAUAUCAGAAUAGCUAGUUGGUGGGGUAAAGGCCUACCAAGGCAACGAUCUGUAGUUGGUCUGAAAGGACGACCAGCCACACUGGGACUGAGACACGGCCCAGACUCCUACGGGAGGCAGCAGUGGGGAAUUUUGGACAAUGGGCGCAAGCCUGAUCCAGCAAUGCCGCGUGCAGGAAGAAGGCCUUCGGGUUGUAAACUGCUUUUGUCAGGGAAGAAAUCUUCUGGGCUAAUACCCCGGGAGGAUGACGGUACCUGAAGAAUAAGCACCGGCUAACUACGUGCCAGCAGCCGCGGUAA